rnacentral:rRNA from 1 species
AACGAACGCUGGCGGCAUGCCUAACACAUGCAAGUCGAACGGGAUCCGGACUUCGGUCCGGUGAGAGUGGCGGACGGGUGAGUAACACGUGGGAACCUGCCUCUUGGUUCGGGAUAACCGCGGGAAACUGCGGCUAAUACCGGAUGCUCCCGAGAGGGAAAAGAUUUAUCGCCAGAAGAGGGGCCCGCGUCCGAUUAGGUAGUUGGUGGGGUAAUGGCCUACCAAGCCGACGAUCGGUAGCUGGUCUGAGAGGAUGAUCAGCCACACUGGGACUGAGAUACGGCCCAGACUCCUACGGGAGGCAGCAGUGGGGAAUAUUGGACAAUGGGGGCAACCCUGAUCCAGCAAUGCCGCGUGAGUGAUGAAGGCCUUAGGGUUGUAAAGCUCUUUUGCCAGGGAAGAUGAUGACUGUACCUGGAGAAUAAGCCCCGGCUAACUUCGUGCCAGCAGCCGCGGUAAU